UAGGGAAUCUUCGGCAAUGGGCGAAAGCCUGACGGAGCAACGCCGCGUGAGUGAUGAAGGUCUUCGGACCGUAAAACUCUGUUAUUAGGGAAGAAUAAAUGUGUAAGUAACUAUGCACGUCUUGACGGUACCUAAUCAGAAAGCCACGGCUAACUACGUGCCAGCAGCCGCGGUAAUACGUAGGUGGCAAGCGUUAUCCGGAAUUAUUGGGCGUAAAGGGUACGUAGGCGGGUAAGCAAGUUAGAAGUGAAAUCCUGUAGCUCAACUACAGUAAGCUUUUAAAACUGCUCAUCUUGAGAUAUGGAAGGGAAAGUGGAAUUCCUAGUGUAACGGUGAAAUGCGCAGAUAUUAGGAGGAAUACCGGUGGCGAAGGCGACUUUCUGGCCAUAAUCUGACGCUGAGGCUCGAAAGCGUGGGUAGCAAACAGG
rnacentral:rRNA from 1 species